rnacentral:lncRNA from 1 species
UUUUUUUAGGGAGAAACCAGGCUGAUUUGGUUAAGGGGGGGGCCACAAUAAUUUAGUGGUGGGGUCCAUCGCCAUGGUGGGGACAGGGGAUCCCCGGUGACACCGGAGGGGGUGGCAGUGGCUCUGCAGGGACAGGGACGAGGGCGCUGCGGUGUCGAGGACGAAGGAUCUCUGGUGACGCCGACGAAGGAGCUGCGGUGACGAAGAUGAUGGAGGACGAAGGAGCCGUGGUGACAAUGGUUCUCCGGUGACCGCAAUGGUGAAGGACGAGGAGUCUCCGGUGACAGUGACAACUGAGGAGCUACGAUGCUUCUUGGGUGACGAGGACGAAGGCUCUCCAUGAUGAGGGACAAGGGCUCUCUGGUGACAUUGGAGGAGGACGCGGCGCUCCAGUGACAACGAUGACGGACAAGGACGAGGGCUCUCCGGUGACACUGGAAAAGGACGAAGAAGAGGGUUCUCCGGUGAUGAUGACGACGGACGACGGCUCUCCGGUGACGCUAGAGAAGGACAAGGAAGAGGGUUCUCCGGUGAUGAUGAUGAUGGACGACGGCUCUCCGGUGACGCUAGAGAAGAACAAGGAAGAGGGCUCUCCGGCGACGCCGGAGAAGGACGAGGGCUCUCCGGCGACGAAGACAACGGAAGGACGAGGGCUCUCCGGCGACGCCGGACAGGAAAGGGAGGGCUCUGCGGCGGCUUUCAAGCCUCCUCUUCGGCCUCUUCACCGAAGUCCUCCUCUUCCUCGGCCGUGGCGUCCUGGUACUGCUGGUACUCGGAGACCAGGUCGUUCAUGUUGCUCUCGGCCUCGGUGAACUCCAUCUCGUCCAUGCCCUCGCCCGUGUACCAGUGAAGGAAGGCCUUGCGGCGAAACAUGGCUGUGAACUGCUCCGAGAUGCGCUUGAAGAGCUCCUGGAUGGCCGUGCUGUUGCCGAUGAAGGUGACGGCCAUCUUCAAGCCCCGGGGCGGGAUGUCGCACACAGCCGUCUUCACGUUGUUGGGGAUCCACUCGACGAAGUAGGAGCUGUUCUUGUUCUGCACGUUGAGCAUCUGUUCGUCCACCUCCUUCAUGGACAUGCGGCCCCGGAAGACGGCGGCCACCGUGAGGUAGCGCCCGUGUCGAGGGUCGCAGGCGGCCAUCAUGUUCUUGGCGUCGAAGACCUGCUGGGUGAGCUCGGGGACGGUGAGGGCCCGGUACUGCUGGCUGCCGCGUGACGUCAAGGGGGCGAAGCCGGGCAUGAAGAAGUGGAGACGAGGGAAGGGCACCAUGUUGACCGCCAGCUUGCGCAGGUCGGCGUUGAGCUGCCCGGGGAAGCGGAGGCAGGUGGUGACGCCGCUCAUGGUGGCCGACACCAGGUGGUUGAGGUCUCCGUAGGUGGGAGUGGUCAGCUUGAGGGUACGGAAGCAGAUGUCAUAGAGGGCUUCGUUGUCGAUGCAGUAGGUCUCGUCCGUGUUCUCCACCAGCUGGUGCACCGACAGCGUGGCGUUGUAGGGUUCCACCACCGUGUCCGAGACCUUGGGUGAAGGCACCACGCUGAAGGUGUUCAUGAUGCGGUCGGGAUACUCCUCGCGGAUCUUGGAGAUGAGCAGGGUGCCCAUGCCCGAGCCGGUGCCACCACCCAGCGAGUGGGUCAGCUGGAAGCCCUGCAGGCAGUCGCAGCUCUCCGCCUCUUUGCGCACCACGUCCAGCACCGAGUCCACCAGCUCCGCCCCCUCCGUGUAGUGGCCCUUGGCCCAGUUGUUGCCGGCGCCGCUCUGGCCUGGUGGUGGGUUGGGGACACGGGUUAGGACCGGGCCGUGGGGACGCCCGGGGAG